AUUGAACGCUGGCGGCAGGCUUAACACAUGCAAGUCGAGCGGAGUGAUGGUGCUUGCACUAUCACUUAGCGGCGGACGGGUGAGUAAUGCUUAGGAAUCUGCCUUAGUGGGGGACAACAUCUCGAAAGGGAUGCUAAUACCGCAUACGUCCUACGGGAGAAAGCAGGGGAUCACUUGUGACCUUGCGCUAAUAGAUGAGCCUAAGUCGGAUUAGCUAGUUGGUGGGGUAAAGGCCUACCAAGGCGACGAUCUGUAGCGGGUCUGAGAGGAUGGUCCGCCACACUGGGAAUGAGACACGGCCCAGACUCCUACGGGAGGCAGCAGUGGGGAAUAUUGGACAAUGGGGGGAACCCUGAUCCAGCCAUGCCGCGUGUGUGAAGAAGGCCUUAUGGUUGUAAAGCACUUUAAGCGAGGAGGAGGCUCUUUUGGUUAAUACCCAAGAUGAGUGGACGUUACUCGCAGAAUAAGCACCGGCUAACUCUGUGCCAGCCGCCGCCGUAA
rnacentral:rRNA from 1 species